UGGGGUGUAGCCAAGUGGUAAGGCAGCGGGUUUUGGUCCCGUCAUUCCUGGGUUCGAAUCCUAGCACCCCAGCCA
rnacentral:tRNA from 1 species